GUGUCCCUACGGGACGCAGCAGUGGGGAAUAUUGCACAAUGGGGGGAACCCUGAUGCAGCAACGCCGCGUGAAGGAAGAAGUAAUUCGUUAUGUAAACUUCUAUCGACAGGGAAGAAAGAAAUGACGGUACCUGAAUAAGAAGCCCCGGCUAAUUACGUGCCAGCAGCCGCGGUAAUACGUAGGGGGCAAGCGUUAUCCGGAUUUACUGGGUGUAAAGGGAGCGUAGACGGCGCGGCAAGUCUGAAGUGAAAGGCAGGGGCUUAACCCCUGAACUGCUUUGGAAACUGCCAUGCUAGAGUGCUGG
rnacentral:rRNA from 1 species